ensembl:lncRNA
CCUUUGUUCAGAGACAGCCUGGCAGAUCUAUCCCCCUAAUAAAGGCUUGUUGUGGCCUGGUCUGGUCUUGGUCUUCGGCCCUUUUACCUGACAUUUCUGGUGCCGUGACUCGGAUGGUAGAUGGUCCAUUAAUGGACGUUCCCCCGCAGGACAGGGUUGAUUGACCUUUUGGCCAUCUCCAACGGACCUAUCUGCUGUUGCCAGGACCCUCCGGGGCUUUCUACCUUUGCCAUUGCUGACGCUACACAUCCACACCUGUCACCAAUGUCUGGGUGAGUAGGGAGUUCAGCCUCCCUCUCGUCGGGUUCUGUGUCUCGUUCUCUCUCCCUCCGGGGACUUCUCAGAAAUCCAAGCGCUUGGUCAGAGAAACCCCCAUGGCCUCUGGGCCCAGGACCGUGCCCCUGGGAGACGUCCCAUCGGCCCGCCUCCUCUCGUUCUCUCCCUCUGGGAGACUCACUGGGAGAUUGUCAAAGGAGACAAGGACGCUUCUCCCCUUUGUCUUUCUCCCCAGGGGCUGCCUCCUCCUCACCCGCUCUAAUCAGGGGGCCCAACAAUCCAAACCCCGCCCCUCAACGCCUCUGGGCUGCCUUCUGGCACAACUCAAACCCCUCGGAUUGUUGGGACCAGACUUUAAGCCAAAAAAGAUUUGUUUUCUAUUGUAAUCAGGUUUGGCCUCAGUAUAAAUUAGAUAAUGGGUUUCCACGCCCCAAAAAUGGCACUUUCAAUUUUAACAUACUGUGUGAUUUACACAACUUCGGUCAACGCAAUGGCAAAUGGUCAGAAAUCCCCUACAUACAAGCCUUUUCUACCUAUGCUCUUAACCCUCCCUCUGUCAAACCUGUUCUCCUUCUCAAGUACUCCUAGCCUGAGCCUAUCACUCACCGCUCAUACCUCCCCCACUUUAUAACUCUGUUGAUAAGAAAAAAUUUUAAAGCCUAAUAGAUUAGCUAUUAAAGUAGUUGUGGAAGCAAACUAGGUAGUGUAUCCCUUUAAAAACUUGCCUUAGCCCAUUGCUUCUGCUGUUCAAAGUGAAGGUUUAUAGCUUCUUUGAUUUGUAGCUCCACUAUAGAUAACAUCCUAACUAAAGAAUGAAGUGAAAAUCCUUGAACAAACUUGUGAUAUAUGUGCCUUAACUGUCAUGUGUUUAGGGCUGUAAUCAGUGACAGAAACCACCUGUGUCUAACCAUUAAACAGGAAUUAGAACUUUAUUUACUUAACAAAGACCACUAGGGAUGAGAUAAUGAUGGACAAAAGUAUAAAAUGUUUAUAGUGAGUCGGGAGACAAAAUAUUUAAAAAGCUAUAAGUAAAAGAUAUAUUUUUGAUAUAAAAGGAUUUUAUAUGUUUGUCUUAUUAGCAGGGCAAGACCAAAAGGCCUAAGUACAUCAAGAAGGUGUGCGAAAGUGAUUUAUAAAGGAAAUAUAUAUGUUUACUUGUUGGUUUCAAGUUUGUUAUAAAAGGUUUACAGAAAUAGAGGUUUCAUUGCUUCUGAUUUUAAUUCUACAAGAGAUCUCUGUUAAUUGACUUACAAAAAGUUUUAAAUAGUCUUAUUUAUAAUUAUAAACCUAAAAUUAUAAAGAGAUUAUAAUUCCAUUGGGCUAAAUAUAUUUGAGUGCACUCUAGUUUUAGAAAUUGUCUUAUAUCUUUGUUUUUGUCCAAUCCUACAGCUGUUUUGUUUAUAGAUAAAGGUUAUUAAGUUCAAGGCAUGCUCCCCUUGGUGAACAAAGGAGCGGCCGCAUGGAAAUAUUUUCCAGUCUUUGUUCACUAGGGGGACCUCAACAGUUUUCAUCUUACAACAGACUGACCCGAUGGUUUUCAUAGCCUUAUAAAAGACUUACAGGAAUAAAUAUUAUUUAAAUAUAUUAUUAUACUGUUUAUAUCAAUUGUCAUCAAAGGGAUAAAUUCUAAAUAUGUUAUUAUGGUGUGCUUACACUGGUUAUUUUCAAAGGACUAAAUAUCCUGUAAAAAACAACAAUAACAAGGUUUUAUUUUUUCUAGUGUACUAAAUGUAUUUAUACUUUCUGACUG